UACGUAGGGUGCGAGCGUUAAUCGGAAUUACUGGGCGUAAAGCGUGAGCAGGCGGCUUUGCAAGACAGAUGUGAAAUCCCCGGGCUCAACCUGGGAACUGCAUUUGUGACUGCAAGGCUAGAGUACGGCAGAGGGGGAUGGAAUUCCGCGUGUAGCAGUGAAAUGCGUAGAUAUGCGGAGGAACACCAAUGGCGAAGGCAAUCCCCUGGGCCUGUACUGACGCUCAUGCACGAAAGCGUGGGGAGCAGACAGG
rnacentral:rRNA from 1 species